GGGUUGUGAGGUUAAGCGACUAAGCGUACACGGUGGAUGCCCUGGCAGUCAGAGGCGAUGAAGGACGUGCUAAUCUGCGAUAAGCGUCGGUAAGGUGAUAUGAACCGUUAUAACCGGCGAUUUCCGAAUGGGGAAACCCAGUGUGAUUCGUCACACUAUCAUUAACUGAAUCCAUAGGUUAAUGAGGCGAACCGGGGGAACUGAAACAUCUAAGUACCCCGAGGAAAAGAAAUCAACCGAGAUUCCCCCAGUAGCGGCGAGCGAACGGGGAGGAGCCCAGAGCCUGAAUCAGUGUGUGUGUUAGUGGAAGCGUCUGGAAAGGCGCGCGAUACAGGGUGACAGCCCCGUACACAAAAAUGCACAUGCUGUGAGCUCGAUGAGUAGGGCGGGACACGUGGUAUCCUGUCUGAAUAUGGGGGGACCAUCCUCCAAGGCUAAAUACUCCUGACUGACCGAUAGUGAACCAGUACCGUGAGGGAAAGGCGAAAAGAACCCCGGCGAGGGGAGUGAAAAAGAACCUGAAACCGUGUACGUACAAGCAGUGGGAGCACGCUUAGGCGUGUGACUGCGUACCUUUUGUAUAAUGGGUCAGCGACUUAUAUUCUGUAGCAAGGUUAACCGAAUAGGGGAGCCGAAGGGAAACCGAGUCUUAACUGGGCGUUAAGUUGCAGGGUAUAGACCCGAAACCCGGUGAUCUAGCCAUGGGCAGGUUGAAGGUUGGGUAACACUAACUGGAGGACCGAACCGACUAAUGUUGAAAAAUUAGCGGAUGACUUGUGGCUGGGGGUGAAAGGCCAAUCAAACCGGGAGAUAGCUGGUUCUCCCCGAAAGCUAUUUAGGUAGCGCCUCGUGAAUUCAUCUCCGGGGGUAGAGCACUGUUUCGGCAAGGGGGUCAUCCCGACUUACCAACCCGAUGCAAACUGCGAAUACCGGAGAAUGUUAUCACGGGAGACACACGGCGGGUGCUAACGUCCGUCGUGAAGAGGGAAACAACCCAGACCGCCAGCUAAGGUCCCAAAGUCAUGGUUAAGUGGGAAACGAUGUGGGAAGGCCCAGACAGCCAGGAUGUUGGCUUAGAAGCAGCCAUCAUUUAAAGAAAGCGUAAUAGCUCACUGGUCGAGUCGGCCUGCGCGGAAGAUGUAACGGGGCUAAACCAUGCACCGAAGCUGCGGCAGCGACGCUUAUGCGUUGUUGGGUAGGGGAGCGUUCUGUAAGCCUGUGAAGGUGUACUGUGAGGUAUGCUGGAGGUAUCAGAAGUGCGAAUGCUGACAUAAGUAACGAUAAAGCGGGUGAAAAGCCCGCUCGCCGGAAGACCAAGGGUUCCUGUCCAACGUUAAUCGGGGCAGGGUGAGUCGACCCCUAAGGCGAGGCCGAAAGGCGUAGUCGAUGGGAAACAGGUUAAUAUUCCUGUACUUGGUGUUACUGCGAAGGGGGGACGGAGAAGGCUAUGUUGGCCGGGCGACGGUUGUCCCGGUUUAAGCGUGUAGGCUGGUUUUCCAGGCAAAUCCGGAAAAUCAAGGCUGAGGCGUGAUGACGAGGCACUACGGUGCUGAAGCAACAAAUGCCCUGCUUCCAGGAAAAGCCUCUAAGCAUCAGGUAACAUCAAAUCGUACCCCAAACCGACACAGGUGGUCAGGUAGAGAAUACCAAGGCGCUUGAGAGAACUCGGGUGAAGGAACUAGGCAAAAUGGUGCCGUAACUUCGGGAGAAGGCACGCUGAUAUGUAGGUGAAGCGACUUGCUCGUGGAGCUGAAAUCAGUCGAAGAUACCAGCUGGCUGCAACUGUUUAUUAAAAACACAGCACUGUGCAAACACGAAAGUGGACGUAUACGGUGUGACGCCUGCCCGGUGCCGGAAGGUUAAUUGAUGGGGUCAGCGCAAGCGAAGCUCUUGAUCGAAGCCCCGGUAAACGGCGGCCGUAACUAUAACGGUCCUAAGGUAGCGAAAUUCCUUGUCGGGUAAGUUCCGACCUGCACGAAUGGCGUAAUGAUGGCCAGGCUGUCUCCACCCGAGACUCAGUGAAAUUGAACUCGCUGUGAAGAUGCAGUGUACCCGCGGCAAGACGGAAAGACCCCGUGAACCUUUACUAUAGCUUGACACUGAACAUUGAGCCUUGAUGUGUAGGAUAGGUGGGAGGCUUUGAAGUGUGGACGCCAGUCUGCAUGGAGCCGACCUUGAAAUACCACCCUUUAAUGUUUGAUGUUCUAACGUUGACCCGUAAUCCGGGUUGCGGACAGUGUCUGGUGGGUAGUUUGACUGGGGCGGUCUCCUCCUAAAGAGUAACGGAGGAGCACGAAGGUUGGCUAAUCCUGGUCGGACAUCAGGAGGUUAGUGCAAUGGCAUAAGCCAGCUUGACUGCGAGCGUGACGGCGCGAGCAGGUGCGAAAGCAGGUCAUAGUGAUCCGGUGGUUCUGAAUGGAAGGGCCAUCGCUCAACGGAUAAAAGGUACUCCGGGGAUAACAGGCUGAUACCGCCCAAGAGUUCAUAUCGACGGCGGUGUUUGGCACCUCGAUGUCGGCUCAUCACAUCCUGGGGCUGAAGUAGGUCCCAAGGGUAUGGCUGUUCGCCAUUUAAAGUGGUACGCGAGCUGGGUUUAGAACGUCGUGAGACAGUUCGGUCCCUAUCUGCCGUGGGCGCUGGAGAACUGAGGGGGGCUGCUCCUAGUACGAGAGGACCGGAGUGGACGCAUCACUGGUGUUCGGGUUGUCAUGCCAAUGGCACUGCCCGGUAGCUAAAUGCGGAAGAGAUAAGUGCUGAAAGCAUCUAAGCACGAAACUUGCCCCGAGAUGAGUUCUCCCUGACUCCUUGAGAGUCCUGAAGGAACGUUGAAGACGACGACGUUGAUAGGCCGGGUGUGUAAGCGCAGCGAUGCGUUGAGCUAACCGGUACUAAUGAACCGUGAGGCUUAACCUUACAACGCCGAAG
rnacentral:rRNA from 1 species